GCUCUCGGCCGCCAUUGGUCAGGGGGCGGGGCCGCGUGCCGCACGGAAAAGCUGGAAGCCCGGGGCAAAGGUCACGGCGGCAGGUGUGGAAAAAACACCUGGAGAGUGAUUUUGUCUGCUACGAAAUAAAAACCAAGGCACUCUGCAUACAGGCCCCAGUCCUCCAUAGUCACGUGCUAAGGAUUGAUUCUGCCGAAGAGUGGAAUGACUGAUGGAAGAAAGGAUACCAAAAAGUCAACAUCACAACAUUAAUCUUUGAUUCCAGUUAAUCUGGAACAGUCAAAUCAAUGAAUUAUAUUGCCACUGGGUGACUGCAAAAGAAAGAUUUGGAUUUAUAAAGCUCCUUUCAUGACCACUGGACUUGCCAGAGCACUUUACAGCCAAGGCACUACUUUUGAAGUGUUGUCACUGUCAUCAUGUAAGAAAUGCAGCAGUUUGCGUGCAGCAAAUUUACACAAACAGCAAUGUGAUAAUGACCAGACAAUCUGAUUUUGUCAUGUUUAUUGAGGAAUAAGGAUUAGCCAGGUAACUGGAGAUGACUCCCCUUCUUCUUUGAAAGAGUGCUGUGUGUCCACCUGAGAAAGCAGACAAGACCCUGGUUUAACUACUGACUCAAAAGUUGGUACCUCUGACAGCGCAGCACUCCAUCAACCUAGAUUUUUGUGUUCAAGUCCUGGUGCAAAAAUACUUUGAGAUUAUGUGAGCGAUUUUAACUGAGUUAAAAUCACCCUCCCCAUUUGAAUUGUUUACAGAGUUAUGAGAAAAGGAGGAAAUUAUCUCAACUCCACAGGCAUGGAGAUUAGCGAGGUGCCUGAUUUCUUAAUCUCACAGAUCACCAAGACUCCACCAGGCUGGUUACAUUUUUUUUUUGCAAUUUGGAACCUGUCUUUCUACAAUAUGGAUACUCCAGAUAAAGUUUUAAAGAAGGAUUUUCCAGUGCAUUUAAUCCUUACCUGAACACUGAUCGAAAGAUGUUUAGAGUUCAGGUUGCAUCUGCAAAUAAUCAUCUGAUUCAAAGUUACUAUGAGAAAUGAGUUCAGCUGCCUCUCAAAACCUUUCCUGUGCAGACUGCUUCUGGUUCCUGUUGGAGGUUCAAACAAUAAUUUGUUGCUCUAGUCUACUUCCAUGCAAUUCAUCUGUAUUUAGCAAGAUAAGCAGAAAUUUUCACAACUUUCAUUGUAGGUAGUUCCUGUUUAUGCAACAGAAAAUGUUAAGAGUUUUGUUUAUGGAACCAUUUCAGUGGCUGGGCAAUGUUGGUGAUAAGUCAGCCUUCUCACUUCACUUACAAUUCAGAAGCUUUACCUUUUCUAGUCACAGAGCCUUUGCUAUCUUUCCUCAAUAGACUUACAGCACAUCAUCAUUUAGAAUCCUGUGGCAUAAUUAUUCCGAGUUUUCUUGCAACAUACAACCAGCUCUCUUCCAAAUAAAAAAUACUUAGACAUGAAAUGCAAAA